rnacentral:rRNA from 1 species
CCUACGGGGGACAGCAGUGAGGAAUAUUGGUCAAUGGACGAGAGUCUGAACCAGCCAAGUAGCGUGAAGGAUGACUGCCCUAUGGGUUGUAAACUUCUUUUAUAUGGGAAUAAAAUGUUCCACGUGUGGGAUUUUGUAUGUACCAUAUGAAUAAGGAUCGGCUAACUCCGUGCCAGCAGCCGCGGUAAUACGGAGGAUCCGAGCGUUAUCCGGAUUUAUUGGGUUUAAAGGGAGCGUAGGUGGAUUGUUAAGUCAGUUGUGAAAGUUUGCGGCUCAACCGUAAAAUUGCAGUUGAAACUGGCAGUCUUGAGUACAGUAGAGGUGAGCGGAAUUCGUGGUGUAGCGGUGAAAUGCUUAGAUAUCACGAAGAACUCCGAUUGCGAAGGCAGUUCACUGGACUGCAACUGACACUGAGGCUCGAAAGUGUGGGUAUCAAACAGGAUUAGAUACCCGUGUAGUC